AUUCCAAUCGCCGCUGCUAAGCAAAACACUACGAUUAUCGUUGCCCAGUCUAAGUUGUUGUUGUCGUACUUACUGUUAGUCCUCCUGUCUGCAACUUGCCUUGCGGCUUCUAGGUCACGAUGGGAAUCACGAUCUCGAUCGAUGGGACCAAUUAUCAGAAGUUUGAGACGUUGGGUUGGCGUUACUGUAACUGCAAGGAGAAAAGGCUUCAAGUACUGAUCCCAAGCAGUAUUAACAACAUAACUCAUUUUAUUCUGCAUAAAGGUUCGUAGAGAUGGAGAUAUACCUGGAGGCAGAGGUACUUGAUGAGGAUAUGGUUUGUGAGAUUUGAUGGUUUGAAUGGAAGAGGUAUUUGAUGCUCAGGAAAUGUUUGCAUGCAGAUAUAUAAACUGGCAAAGAGAGAGAAAUGGCAGAUGUCUUGGCAGAUGUCUGGGAACUUAACCUUCGUAAUUUAUAAAAGCAAAUUCUAUAAUUAAUUUCUCAUCUUUUUUUUAACGUUGAAAUCAUAUUUCUUUUCAAUUUUUAAUCAAGAUACUUUAGUCUCAAUAAAGAAAAAAUUAUAAAUAAAAUAUACUUUUAAUACUCAAUUUUAUAUUGAGAUAACACUUUUCAAAAUAUUUCAAGAAAAGACAAAAAUUAACACACAUAAAAGGUGACACUAUUAGUCUUUUUUUCUCUAAAAUUUAAGUUGCAAAAAUACCCUUUUAUUGUAGUGGUGCGGUCCAACUUUAGGAAUGAUCCUCCUACUACUUUUACUACAUGUCCUUUUCACGACAGACAAUUAAAUCCCUGAUUAUGUCCUACUACCUAUUGUAAUGGGGAUAAGGAUUGUCUACCCUUCCUUUUUUCAUGUCCAUGCUUUUCUGUUUGUGUGGUUACGAUUAAGUCAUGUCAACAUUUUAUAUUACUAUUCAUUUUUAUUUUAUACUAUUGUAGUGGGGAUAAAGAUUGUCUACCCUUCCUUUUUUCAUGUCCAUGCUUUCCUGUUUGUGUGAUCACGAUUAAGUUAUGUCAACAUUUUAUAUUACUAUUCAUUUUUAUUUUAUUAUCUUUAUAAAAAAAAUAGAAAAUGUUAACGUAAUUUAACAGUGACCACAUAAACAGAAGGGUAUGGAAGACAUGAAAAAAGAGAGGGCAAUCCUUGUCCUUAUAGUGGUGCGUCGGACUUUACCUGUCAUUUUCACGGGAUGAGGCAAUUAAAAGAAAUUGUAAGCAAAGGGUCCCCAGGAAUCUCUCUGGUCUCCUCCUACAGGUGGAAGCAUUGACCAAUGGGUUUUAUCUCUUUGGGUUUUCAGAGGUAAGGCUAAAUAUCUAAAAUAGUCUUUGAGAUUUGCAUAACUCAUCAUUUUGGCCCUUAACAUUUCAAAUCAAUAAAAAUGGUUCAUGAGAUUGUCCACCAUCUAUCAUUUUGGUCAUUCCGUUAAAAACUCCGUUAAGUGUCCCGGAACUCUUGGCCGGAAGUUUAGGCAAUUUUCAAAGUUUCGUAACUCAAUUGUUUAUUAACCAAAUUCGACUCAUAAUAUAUAAAAAUGAAGAUAGGAAAGUGUAGAAUAAGAUUAUAACUAUUUGGAAGCCUAAUGGUUGCUGGAGAUGGUCGAAAAAUAGCCUUAAAGUUGACUGGUCCAAGGGAAAACUUGAAAACUCGCCGAAAACUGGGUAAAUUUUAAACGUUCAUAACUUAUUCAAUACUCAACGAAAUCAAGUGAUUUAAAAACAAAAAUCAUACUUUUCAAUGAGUGAAAGAGAAUGGUACCCUUUUAGACGAUUAUAUCCCUGUGGUUUGGUCAGAAAACGUCUCGAAAGUGGCUAACUCCAGACUAAGACAACCACUUUCGAGCCGUUUUCCGGCCAAAUCACGGCAAGUUAGCCUUUGAAAAAGGUAUCAAUCUCUUCCUCUCAUCAAUAAGUAUGAUUUUUGUUUUUGAAUCACUUGAUUUCGUUGAGUAUUAAAGACGUUAUGAACGUUUAAAAUUUACCCAGUUUCCGACGAGUUUUCAAGUUUUCCCUCGGACCAGUCAACUUUAAGGCUAUUUUUCGACCAUCUCUGGCAACCAUUAGACUUCCAAAUAGGUAUAAUCGUAUUCUACACUUUCCUAUCUUCAUUUUGAUAUAUUAUGAGUCGAAUUUGGUUAGUAAUCAAUUGAGUUACGAAGCUUUGAAAAUUGCCCAAACUUCCGGCCAAGAGCUCCGGGACACUUAACUGAAUUUUUAACGGAAUGACCAAAAUGAUAGAUGGUGGACAAUCGCAGGAACCAUUUUUAUUGAUUUGAAAUGUUAGAGACCAAAGUGAUGAGUUAUGCAAAUCUCAGGGACCAUUUUGGCUAUUUAGCCGAGAGAUAAUAGGUAGGAUCCCUCAAAAUUGACAUAUUUUCAAAGACAAUCCCAGAAUUGAACAGGAGAGGGAAUUAGUUCAAUUAUAAUAAUACGGUGGUGGAAGAAAUAUUAGAUUGACGUCCAAGGAACCGGAGGUGAAUGAAAUAUUAUAUCAUUUUCUUCAAAAAGUUUUCGAAGGAACGAUGCUUAAAAAGUAGGAUGACGAAUGAAAUAUUGGCAAAAUGGAUGAUGCAAAACAUGCACAAACCAAUUGGAAACCACUGAAAACCAGAUGGAAUUUGGAAGGAACGUGGCUCAACGUGUGUUCAAAAAGGGUCCAGUUUCAAAAAAAUCAAACUGAGGUUCCCUGGGUCAAAUAUUAUAAGAAUUGAACGGGACAAAGUUGAAUAGUGAAUGGGGAGAAUAUUUCCAGCUGGGGUAUUUUUUCUUUUGGUUUGAUCACUUCCACUGGGUUAGGAGGACAAGAGCAAUGACAUUUAAAUUGACCUUAUUAUUCAUUUUAAAUAGUAUUUGUUUUUGUGCCACUUCACCUAAUAGGUGAGGCAAUUCCUAUUCACAUUUUUUUGUUUAGAUGUUCGGUUCAUGAUGUGCCUUGGAUCUACUCGACGAAUUGUACAUGAAUCUCUUCCACAUUUGGAGCACCAUCAUCUCAUUUUUCUUGACCAAGUCAUGAGUAACACGCACCCAACACUCGAGCAAAAUAACUUCUCCAAUCGACCAAUUUGUCUUCUUACUCAUUUUUUCUAGUUCAAAAAAAAAAAAGAUUUGAAAAGUCAAAAAUUAAUAUAGUGUUGCAAGACAUUUAUAUCCGCCCACUAAUUUGAUGUAACUGUCGGAACCGUUAAGCUAUGGAUUCUUCAAAUGAAUGUGAGCUUGUUUGGAUGUGCUUUUGAAAUGACUGAAAUCAUUUUUGAUGAAAAUGAUUUUAAAACCAAUCAUUAGUAAAAAUGCAAGUAAAUUCUGAAAAAGCACCUAAAGUUCUUCAUAGAAUAAGCAUAUAACUUGUGCUUAUUGCAAAAAACACUUUAAGAAAGUGCUUUUGAAACCCAAAAAUACUUUUUCUAAAAACAUUUUCAAUUAUUUUAAAAGCACAUCCAAACGAGCCAUAUGUCAUUUUCCUUACUAGAUCAUGCAAUUGAUUCUCCCUAUUGAAUUAAGAGAAUUUGUUUAAUUUACCAAGAUAGUUGCCUCACUACAAUAAAAAGGUGAUUAUGCCUCACAUUAUAACAUGCUAAGAAACUCUCAAAUAAAUUCACUCCUCUCAAAUUGUUUUCAUCUGUAACGCGUUAUUAGUACUUUUGCUCUAACCGAAUCAAAACAUGCAGUUUGAUUUUUUCUCACCAUUUUAGGAACAAAAUUUCAAUUUCUCUGAAUACGAAAGUAGGAUCAUUUUUACGUUUUGAAGCAAGUAUUUCAUUUUAUGAUUUCAACUUUAUGUCAAACCCGUAAUUACAUGUUCAAUAAUACCAGGAAGCAUAAAACUUUCACCAUACGAAAAAUAACCAUGGUGCAUGAUAAACAUGUGUAUAUCAUCUGUAACCUUCAGUAAUUAAGUCUUCGAUAGCCUUUUACAUAAAUGAUACAAAACAUGCAACAGAUAAUGCUGCAAGCAUAAAUAAGAAUAGUUGCAGACUCCAAUUCAUUCAUUGGCUCCCAGGUGUCUUCCUCAGGCCUGUAGCCCUUCCAAUAAAUCUACAUACAUCACAAGGCAAGCAAAUUUUGCAUGAGGAACUAAUGAAUUUAGAUUUGCAUUAACCAUUUACUCGCAUAUUAUGUCGUUAUAAAUAUUUAAAGAACAUGCAUUUAUAAAUUUCGAAGUUCAUACCUUUAAGUAUAUUCCCUUCUUCUCAUUUUUUUUGGAGUCACCAAAACAUACUCCUACGUAGUCAACUUCAAACAUUUCAGAAUCAUCCUUAACAUUUCCUUUAACAUCUUCUUCGUCUUCAUCAUCUUCCUUCCUAAAGAAUUCAAGCAUACUCUUCUCGACAUCUGCGUCUAAAUUGUCAGUCUCAACCAACUUUAAGCAGAAGCAGUAUUUUCUCCAUUCCUUGAGCAUUUUGAGGAAAUCUUCAGCAGCUUCAUUUUGGACCUGAUGUGUGAAUUGGACAAUAAAUUAUACAAAAAGAAAAAUUACUUCUGUUCUAGACUCUUACAAGCGCAUCCAAUGUAGUCAACAGCCCAUAUCUAAAAGACAUAAACAAGAGAACAAUAUCAAGCUUUGCCUUCAGGUCUAUUCAAUUGAUGUCAAAACAUUAACAUAAAAUAAAUUAAGAAAUAGGAACGUACUGUUACAAGAUUGACACUGCCCAAACGUGCACCAAGGCACAAGCCAGUGGACAUCGCUUCACAACCCAAAUAUAGGUCCAGGAUGCUUACUUCUGAUUUCGCACACACUCCAUUUGACAUCUUUGAAUCAACCUCACUAUCCAAACAAAACAUCAUCUGAAACAGAGAUAGUUGAGUCAUCACUUCCAGACUGCAAUUUUCUGAAAUUUCAAAACCAGAAAUAACAUGUGAACACAUAGGAACCUUGCAGACGAAAGAAAGAAAAAACCAGCAUCAUGACAGUAAGUAGAAAGAGAACAGUAUCCUGUUUGCAGAUUGACAAAAGUAGAAUACGGUAGCAAAUACUUGGUGUCGCAAAAGUAAUUGCACACUGGAAUUGAUUUACUCUUCACAUCUUGAUCAACAUGAGAGAAAAAGGAUACCUCAUUCAUGUUGGACUUCAUGAACAACAAAAAAAAGCAUGAAUAUGGAAACUUCAAGCAUACAUUUAGUAUCAGCCUAACAAUAUGAAGUUUUCAACAAGACAAUCCAGAGGGUUGUCGUCUUGGACAUUUGAAAAAAAUACACGUCCACAAGUAACAGUAGCACAAUGCUUUAUAACCUACAAGAAAGCAAAAAACUAAUAAUUCAGCGCCCAAUAGCAGGAUUCUUACUUUUUAAAGUAACAAAACCAUGAAACAAAGUAUUUGGAAAAAGAAUCGUGACCUAUAGUAUCAUUCUGCAGUAAAAUAUAAUAGCCCACCAAUUGCCUCAAACAUUUCCACAAUCUUACAAAUGUAGGGUUCUACACCAAUGCAAGGAUCAAAGUCAAAACUAGAUAAGGGCAAAAAGUCGAAGAGCAUUCCACAAACAUAUAUCAAGCUAACACCAUUGGUUGACACUCAAGUUCAAUAUCUUCAGCAUAUAUUUCAUGAAGCAAAUACAUGAGGGGGAUACUCUUUGUAAUUGCCCUUUCAUAAUAACUAACCCAAAGUAUCAGUUUGCUUCUCAAGUUUUCCUAUAACCAGAGGGGGAUACUCUUUGUAAUUGCCCUUUCAUAACAUUUCUUCCUUCCUUUUCAUGACCCAAUGAAUAACAUAGAACAUUCACAAUUGAUUACUAGCAAUGCAUAAUUGUACGUGACAAUAUUACAACAGAAAGAAUUUAUCCUGCUUCAUACACAUUUUAUUCGGACCAGGCGGACAGGAGGGAGGGAGGGAGGGUUUACACCCCACCCUGCCACCACCACAAGAUUCAUCCCUAAUGUUCCCAUCACAACCACAAAACACUUUGCAAAUUCAACAACUUUAACAUUAUGCAAAUCCAACAAAGAACUGUAAAAUCAAGGUUGAAAGCCUGAACCCCAAAAUUCUUGAAACCAAACCCUUGAUACCAUGUUAGACAACACCGAGAGGUAAAAAUCAUACGAAUUUAGGAAAUGGGUAAAGAAUUAAUCCUACCACAAAUGCUACACCUACAUUAACGCUUGGACACACAAAUAUUCCAAAACCCAUUAUUUGUCUUAUCAUUUACCACUUAUCCAUGAAGUUCACAGUGAUCAUCUAUAACCCCUAAAUCUCCAACAUUUUCACAAAAUACAAAUUAAAUUCUUUAAAAUAAAAAAAAACAAAAUCUUGAAACAAAAUCUAUCACCUCCCCCGCAUAUCGCUUGGGGUAUUGCUUACGAGCCUCCUCAUCUUCCAUCGGUUUGCCAAUAAACCUCGAUUCCUCUCUGUCUUCAUCAGCCGCAGCGACCUCCUGAGUCACUGGCUUCCUCGGAGGAGAAGCAGCUUUUUCCACACUCGUUGCUACCUCCUCUUCAACUGUCCCCUUAUUGGUUUGCCUCGGAUUCUUCAAUUUCGUUGGAGAAGCAGCUUUGUCCACACUCGUCGCUAGCUCCUCUUCAACUCUCGCAUUUUUUGUUUGCCUCGGCUUCUUCGAUUUUGGAGAACAAGCAGAUUUUUCCACACUCGCCACUACCUCCUCUUCAACUCCUCCCUCCUUGGUUUGCCUCGUCUUCUUCAAUUUCAGCGGAGAAGCAGCUUUUUUAACACUCUUAGCUACUUCCUCUUCAACUCUCGCGUUCCUGGUUUGCCUCGUGUUCUUCGACUUCGGCGGAGAAGCAGCUUUUUCCACACUCGUUGCUACCUCCUCUUCAACUCUCGCACUCCUGGUUAGCCUCGGGCUUAGGGAUGGGAAAUACCCAUCGGUGGUUAUGGGUAACCACCGUUACCUGCCAUUUAAAUUAAACGAUUAUGGUAUAACUGUUUAUCCAAGAAAUUUAAAUGGGCGGUUAUGUGUAUUAAUCACGGUUAUAAAUGGGUAACCAUUUACUCAUUUAUUUUAUAUAUGUAAAACUAACACAAAACAUGUUCUCGAUCUAAUAAAACUUAGCACCCAAUAAAUUAGUAAGGAAUUCAUCAGUCAUUCUCUCAAUAACACUGUUAUAGGAAUGAUGAUUCUCAUCAUCAAGAAAUUCACCAAAUUAAUUUAAAUCCCUGGUAGAUAAUCGUGAAAUUGAUAUAAAUACUUUGACAUAAAUGUCUUUAAACAAUUUUUGUAAUCCAAUAAUACUUAGUAAAUAUUAUAUUUACUUUUAUUGGUAACUGUUAAAAAUAUAAUCUGUAAACUAGUAUUUCAAUUAUUGGAAUUAUAUAAGGACUUAAAAAAUUAAAAUACGAAAAUAUAUGAUAAAUGUAUCUAUAACGGUGUUUAAUUGUUAAAAAAAAUUAUGACAAUUUUUUUUUUAAUUUUCAAGUUGUUAAAAAACAUAUAGAAGGGUGAAAAAAAAAAGUAAUGGUAAAAAAAUAAAAUAAAUAAACGGAUUAAAAGGGGUAAAUAGAUAAACGGAUAUUAAACGGUUACGGUUAAAUGAGUAUACGAUUAUGCGUAUAGUUAACCGUUUAUAAACGGAUUAUGGAUAUGGUUAUAACCGCUUAAGCAAUUACUCAAUGGGUAAACGGUUAUGCAGGUAUGAACAUAAAUGGUUAUGGGUAAAUAACCACGGUUACACGCCUACCAUAACUGUUGCCCAUCAAGUGCCCAUCCCUACUCGGGCUCUUAGAUUUCAGCGGAGAAGUAAAUUUUUCCACAGUCGUUGCUACCUCCUCUUCAACUCUCUCCUUCUUGGUUUGCCUAGUCUUCUUCGAUUUCGGCAGAGAAGUAGCUUUUUCCACUAUCGUGGCUACCUCCUCCUCAACUCUUGCCUUCUUGGUUUGCCUUGGGCUCUUCAAUUUUGGCGGAGAACCUGAAGAGGUUCUGGCCUUCGGCUUCCGCUUGCACGCCAUUCUGCCUACGACGUAGAGAGGGUGAAUAGCCGAAGAAGACAGUGGAUCUUAGAGCAACUCCACCCUUGGAGCCCCCCUAGCAAUCCACUAUUGAAUCCACCCUAUUGAAUAGUAACUGCCUUUAAUGAAUAGUAACUACCAUUAAUGAACAGUAAUUACCUUUUGCAUCUCCACCCUUGGAGCCCCCUGGCAAUAGGUAAUAAAAUAGUAGUUUUUUUUGUUUGUUUAAAUAAUAUAAAAUUAAAAAAAACAGGGAAAUUGGGCUGUAGGGCCUAGGGCUAACACAAAAAACAAUAAAAAAAUGCCUUGGCCCUCAGGUUGCAAGCCUGUCAACUAUCCACCCUCCUUGUGCUCGGGCUCCCACCCUCACUCGAGCCCUCCAUGGCUGGAGAAGAAUCAACCGGCCCUCGGGCCCCUUCCUGCAGCCUGUCCCUCGAGCAAAGUAGAAGGCUGGAGUUGCUCUUAGAGAGAAAGAGAGGGGAGGAAAGAGAGAGAGAAAUGGGCGAUAGGGUUUUUUUAGGGCAUGAGUGAUUGGAUUGGGGUUAUCUUUUAUAGUGGGCCAUGAAAUUAUGGAGUGGGAAGUGCGCGGCUUGUGGGCGGGAAAACGGGAAAUUUAGAAAGUGGGGUUUGAAUUUUGAGGUGACGUUUGGUUUUGGAGCGUAAGGACUUUGGGGGGUGUUUGGUUGCGGGGGUUAACUUUUUCGUGUGUUUGGCUCUAUUUUUGUUUACAUUUUUGACUUUUUUUCCGAUUUGUAUAAUAUUAAUUACCAAAUUUACCAUAAAUGUGUGUUAUAGUUGUGUAAACGUAAACAAACGAUGAAUGCAUGAUGAGAGUUAAUAGAAAGUUGUAAUAAGAGAUAGACAACGUAUUGAUUUCGUAAAUAUUAUACGGUGUAAUGUUAAGUACUAUUAAUUGUUAACGAAAGUUCACAUGCAUGAUGAUCGACAUUUUUAUUAUUUUUUCAUAAAUUAUAACUCAUUGUGUAUAAUAGAGAUAAAAAAGAAUUAUGAAAGUUCAAUAACUCAAACAGAGAAAUCAAUUUCGUGUAAGUGUACUAAUUGCCGUUGCCUACUGCUUAGACGUUUGUGGGUUCUUUAAUCUUUUGGUUCAUGAAAGUGGUUUUACUUCGAAAAAUAUUACAAAAAUUUACAAUUAUGGACUUCCCUUAACUUAUUAAAUAUUACAAAAAUUAAGGCUCGAUUGUAAAUAUUUUUAAAAUGAUUAAAAAUGUUUUUGGUGAAAUUAUUUUUGGGUUCCAAAAUCACUUAAAGUGCUUUUUGGAAGAAGCAUCAGAUAUGUACUUCUUGCAGGAAGCAGCAUAUAUAUGUUUCUUGCAGGAAGUAAUUAAAGUGUUUUUUAUUUUUUUGAAUCCACUUAGAUUUUUACUAAGAAAUGGUUUCAAAAACAUUUUCACAAAAACGCUUCCAGUUAAUUUAAAAAUACUCCCAAAUGAGCCCUUAACCGUUUUAGUUUUGACAAUUUGGAUGGUUAAAAUGCAUCACGAUGUUAUAGACAAUGAAUGGUGGACACAAGUACUUUCACUAAAAGGAAUAUAUAGAAGUAACAAAUUAAUUAACUAGAUUUGAUGAAACAUAGCAUUAGUAAGAGGCUGCAGAUAAGUAAACUCCAAACAGAAUAAACAAUAGUUGACAUUUGAAAAACCUACGACAAAUAUGAGGGAGUCACCAUUAUAUAUAUAUAAGAGCUUUUCACGUCACUCAAUACUUGGUGCAUUCUUAAUCAUCAAUGGUGCUAGUACUGCGUCGGCAUGAUCCUACCGCAGCAUCAAUGGCGGUUUUCGAAAUUGAAUUGUUUGGGGUAGGAUAUUUAAAACCAUGAGGCUUGUAAUAUUUAUUGAAGUGAAGAUUGCGGAGAAGUACAAGGAGGAAGGCAGCGUCGUAGAUAUAAUAGGCAACACAUUUGAACCACGAAGGAAAUGGGAUGGUGAUGGAUAUAAAAAAGGUUGUGACUCCAAAGAAAAGGCCAAAAUGAUGGAAAAUCAGGGCGAUUGUUAUUCCGGCAGGACAGUAGCUGAAAUGAAUACAUCUGCUUACCAAGAUGCAAGUGAAGACAAGUAAAACUGAUAAUCCAAGAAAGUCAAAUAUUACAGGGAGAGGGAGCUGGCCGGAGGGAAUUUGAAAGGGAAGAAGCGUUAGUCCGAUAGGCGAUGUCGAGCAAAACACGAGGAUUAUACUUGCCCAAUCUUAAAUUGUUGUUGUUGUUGUUGUGGGACUUGUAGCUAGGUAUGGUUUGGGGUUGAGGUGAUUAAAAAAAAAAGCUGGUAUAAAAAAAGCUGGGGUUUAUAUUUGUGCUUGCUAAACUUCCUGCUUCAGUUAUUUUCUUCACAGUUUUGGGUGAAAAAAGCCAAAAAACAGAAGCAACUUUGAAAAGCUGGCUUUUCAGCUUCUGCGCAAACCUCUAAAACAUAGGUGAACAGUGACCCUUUAAUGAAAGUUUCUGGCAAUCCUACCCUGAGCUCUAUCUUCCGCCUCCACACUUCUCCGUCAAACCCACCACUCUCCCACACCUCUUCGCCUAUCCUGAUCCUUCAAACCCACAAAACCCCCCCAAACCACCUUCUCUAUCCGCCUCCACACCGCCGCCUGCCAGAGAUAGAGUCAUCGACUUUGGAAAAUACAAGGGCAAGAUGCUGGGCACCUUUCCUUCAGUGCACCUUAAGUAGGUGUCCAAAAAUCUCCACGCUCGCGACUUCGAGGAUUGGGCAAAGCUCGCAGACCAAGUCCUUAACGACGCCGUUUACUGGGACCGGAGCUGGUGGAGAAUGUCCUGAACGAAAAUCGGAGGAAAACAGACCCAGCGUCUGACGUCGUUUCGUCCAUCGAGUUAUGGCGGCUCUAAACCCAUCAAGAACCCUAAUUUUUCAAAACCCAUUUCUCCUUUUCACUGAUACAUUCACUCAGCUCAAGCUAAGGCGGUUGAUUCCGAGGAUUCCGAGUAGGAUGAAUAGAUAGUGCAGAGAGAGUGCAGAGAGAUUGGUAUCUUUCUUGACUACUAAUUCGCUGUGGUUUGGGAGGAAAACUACUAAAAAAUGAUUAGCCACUUUCGAGCCUUUGUCCGACCAAACCACUGAUGGUUAGCCUUAAAAAAAAGUAUCAUUCUCUUUGUCUCAUCAAGAAGUAUGAUUUUCAUUUCGAAUCACUCGAUGUCGUUGAGUAUUGUAGAAGUUAUGAACGUUUAAAGUUUACCCAGUUUCCGGCAAGUUUUCCAGUUUUCCCGCGGACCAGUCACCUUUUAGACUAUUUUUUGGCCAUCUUCGGCAACCAUUGGGCUUCCAAAUAGGUAUAAUUUUAUUCUACACUUUUCUAUCUUCAUUUUGAUAUAUUAUGGGUUGAAUUUGGUUAAGAAACGAUUGAGUUACAAAGCUUUGAAAAUUGCCCAAAUAGUUUUUAACGGAAUGACCAAAAUCAUGGAUGGUGGACAAUCUCAGGGACCGUUUCUAUUGAUUUUAAAUCUCAGGGACCAUUUCUAUUGAUUUUAAAUCUCAGAAACUAUUUCUAUUGAUCAUGCAAAUCUUAGGGACCAUUUUGUAUAAUAAAAAAUAAUUUUAUUUGUAAUUUCGGAUAGAAUUUUUAAUCUGUCUCGUUGUACCACGUGCCAUUAAAUACGAAAUUACAACCCCAAGGAUUUGAGAAAAUAUAAGAUUGUGGUGUAAGUUGGAAGAUAAUGAUAAAAUAUUUAUAGAAAAAUUAAAUCAAAUUUUUUUAAUUUUUUAAUUUUUUAAAUUUUUAAAUUUUUUUUUUCGGAUUUUAAAAUUUUUUUUUACAUUAAUUUUUUUUAAAAUUUUUUUUACAUUUUUUAUUAAUUUUAUAACUAACGUUAUCAUGACGUCAGCCUUGCAUCAGUGCGCCUCAGGUGCUCGGGCCGUGAAUUCUUGCCUCCCCUCUCCCACGAGGCCACCCCUAGCCCAAUUGCCCACAUGGGCUGGAGCAAGGAAGGUUGGCGAUUUGGGUUUCUGAGCAGCCGAUCCCCAUGGCAAUGCACAACGCUGGACUUGCUCUAAAUAUCACCCUUAUGUUGUGGAAAAGAACCAUUUAUGUGAAAUUUGCAAUGAAUUGGCAUGUCAAGAAUCAUAUAAUUUGGGGAUUCCAACAAUCAUGGAGAUAAGCAGAAAAUUGGUCAAAAAGUUAUUUUGAUAUUAGCAAUCAACACUUAAGUAAUAAUCUAAUCUUUAACAAUCAUAUAAUAUGGUUUACAAAAUAAAAUUUGAAUAGAUAGUCUCCCUAACAUCACUCUUUAUUUCAAUUUAGUUUUCUAUCAAAGUUAAGCAGUCAAUACACUCAAAACAAAGAGGUUAUAAAAAAUGUACAUCACUUUUGUGUUCCAUCCAUACGGCUAAAUGGUAAAGUCAGUUUUCUAAGAAGGGAAAAAUCAGUCGGUUUGUGACAUAAAUCCAACAAAACAUUACUGUGAUCAAAACUAUAUCUUCAAAUUAUCGAUUUUGCUAAUUUUUUAACUGUUGCAAAAUGGAAACAAUUAUGAUUAUACAAUCACUUAAUGGAGUAGACCAAUUAUCUAGUCUUACUUUUCACUUGUGAGUGUUUCUAUAUUCAUUGCUGCUAAACAACUAAUCAUGAAAACUCACUUGCCCACGAGCUUGAAUUAUAUCUUCAUCACUGAUUUCAAUUAUAUUGAACAUAAAAAUCCAAUCAGAAAACAAACAAACAAACAAACAAACGGUAACCAACCUGUUAAAACACAAAAAGACUACAUGGGAGUAAGCCGACAAAAAAUAAUACAGAUGAAGUAGAAACUAAAACCUACUCGUUGGAGUUGUUUUGCCCAUUCCUCUUUGCCUUCUGCACCAAUGCAAGGAUCAAAGUCAAAACUAGAAAAGGGCAAAAAGUAGUAAAGCAUUCCACAAACAUAUAUCAAGCUAAUGCCAUUGAUGUCCCCCACCACCUCGCUCCAUGUCGUACCAGAUCCUAGCCUAGGUACUGGUGUAUCUGUUCCACAAACAUAUAUCAAGCUAAUGCCAUUGAUGUCCCCCCCCCCCACCAACUCGUGCCCCCACCAACUCGCUCCACGUCGUACCAGAUCCUAGCCUAGGUACUGGUGUAUCUGUGUCCAUGCUGCAUCGGAUCCCAACCUAUGCGCUGGUGCAUCCAGGUCCACGAAGCACCAUAUCAGAGCCCAUUUAGGUCUCUGUCCUUGGGCUUGCACCUGCAACCCAUUUUUCUGUGAUGUUGGGCCCGCCUGCAUGAUCGGCCCGUAACCAAUCCAGCCCAAUUUCUUUGGGCCUGGACCUCACGGUUUUAUUUUUCCAGCCCACCUCGCUCCACGUCGUACCAGAUCCUAGCCUAGGUACUGGUGUAUCUGUUCCACAAACAUAUAUCAAGCUAAUGCCAUUGAUGUCCCCCCCCCACCAACUCGCUCCACGUCGUACCAGAUCCUAGCCUAGGUAUUGGUGUAUCUGUGUCCAUGCUGCAUCGGAUCCUAGCCUAUGCGCUGGUGCAUCCAGGUCCACGAAGCACCAUAUCAGAGCCCAUUUAGGUCUCUGUCCUUGGGCUUGCACCUGCAGCCCAUUUUUCUGUGAUGUUGGGCCCGCCUGCAUGAUCGGCCCGUAACCAACCCAGCCCAAUUUCUUUGGGCCUGGACCUCACGGUUUUAUUUUUCCAGCCCACCCAUGGGCUUUGGCCCAUUAUUUUGGGCCCCAAAUUUAAUUGCCUAAUUAUUUUAGCCCCAUGGGUUUCAUAAUUUUUCACCUACAUUUUAAAUUUGGCCCGAAGUCCAAAUAAAUAAUUAAUUCAAUUAUAGACCUGAAGUCCUAUUUGCAUAUUUUAUUUUUGCAUAUUUCUGUAUAUAUAUUUGUGUUUUUCUGCAGGAACAUAUGAAAUUGAAGUUCAUAAUUAUUUCGAAAAAUGAAGUUCAUACAAACACUUAUUUGAAAACCUGAAGUUUUCCUUAAAAACAUCACCAAUGAAAACCCGAAGCUUUUUCAUGUGAAUUUAAAUCAAUACAUGCCUAUUAGAACCUGAAUGCUCUACUCCUAUGUGAAUGGAUUGAUUUUUUUUUCUCCAUUACACUAACCACAUGUCACAUCCCGACCCGGGCCCCCACCACAUCCCCGGCUCGAUUCACCGUAGCACGAUAUUGUCUGCUUUGGGCCCCUACCACGCCCUCAUGGUUUUGUUUCUGGGAAUUCACACGAUAACUUUCCAGUGGGUCACCCAUCCUGGGAUUGCUCUCGCACGAACUAGCGUAACUUCGGAGUUCCUAUGGAACCCGAAGCCAGUGAGCUUCCAAAAUGCCUCAAGCUAGGUAGAGAUGGAAAUAUACAUAUAAGGCUUACAUGAUCCACUCCCCUGGGCGAUGUGGGAUGUAACACCACAUCUUGUCCAUCUAUUUUGUGAUAGGAAGAAGUUGAAUUUGAACAAACUUGACUGCACCACUUUGGAGGUCUUUGGAAGAAACUACCUCAAGUGGGUCCAAGAUGUGAAGCUCCACCUCACUACAAAGAACUUACGUCUCGCUAUUGAAGAUGAGACAAAUAACUUGGUUGGCGAAACUGAGAAAGCUAUUGCCAUGAUCUUCAUCUGAAGACACAUUCAUGAUGCACUGCAAACAGAGUACCUUGCUGAGGAGGAUCCACAAGCACUCUGGGUUGCUUUGGCUGAUCGCUUUGAUCACCAAAAUGACAUCUUAUUGCCUGAAGCAAGACAUGACUGACAUCAUUUACGCUUCCAAGACUUUAAGUAUGUGAAUGAAUAUAAUUCUGAAGUUUUUCGAAUUCGAUCACUUCUCAAGUUUUCGUAUUUGAUCUCUGUUUACUUCUUGCUGAAAAGUAGAAUCAGCUGUCAAUAAAAAAUCAUCAAGCUCGACUAACUGGGGCGACUGUUGUGCCUGAAGCAUAUUAUAGCACAAACAAACGCCCAAAAUGCCACAAUAGACGUGGUAGGGGUGGUCAGAAGCCACCCCAUCAAGGUCAACAGAGCCAAGACCCAUCGAAGAGAGGAAACCGAGCCCAUAAGUGCCCUAACCUCGCUCAUAAGGCCCUAAACUUUAAGAAUAAAGGCAAAACACAUGAAACCAUAGAUGCAGAUAUGUGAUAUCAUUGUGGUUCAAAUGAUCAUUGGUCCCGUGUUUGCCAAGCUUCCCAAAAGGUUGUAGCUGAAUAUCAUUCUCGUCGUAAGAAGUUUGAAUCAAAUUUUGUACAAAUGGAUGAAUCGGAAAGUACCCAAAUGGAGGUUUUUGACUUUCAAGAGGAUACCACAUCUGUGGAAGAUUAGAAUCUUAGACAUGAACUAUUUUUCUAGUUGAAAUUUAGACAAUGGAGUUGAAUUCCACCUAGUGGCCGAACCCCUCUUGAACAAUUUUCCUAUAUGUUUGGAUGAUUUGUUGGUGAUUUGUUUUUGGAUAUUAAGUUUUUAAUUAAUUACCAUCCUUGAAUACUUAAAUUAUUUUGAAUGGAUAUUUGUUUUUAGAACUUUUAUGCAUGUGACCAAUUCAAAUUAAUUUUUUAUUCUAGGUAUGAUUAGUGGGAAAAUUAGUUGUCUGGCAGAUAGUGCAACCACAUACAACGUUUUGUGUGAACGCAUCUAUUUCACUAACUUCAUACGUAAGAAUACACAUCUAACAAUCCUCUUAGGCCCAUCCAACCUAAUCGAAGGAUACGGUGAGGCAUGUAUAAUGUUGUCCAAUGGAACAAUUUUGACCAUUGAUAAGGCACUUUAUUCUUCGCGUUCCGGAAGAACGUUGUUGAGUUUCAAGGACAUAAAAGGUAAUAAUUACCAUACUAAAACCUAUGUAGAAAAUGGAGUUGAAUUUUUGUGCAUAACUUCCUAAUAUUAUGGCCAGAAGCGUAUUUUAGAGAAGAUGGAGCAUAUCCCGAAUAGUCUGUAUACUACGACCAUAUGCCUUAUAGAAACCUACUAUGUGGCCGACCCUACCUCUGGGACUGCGCAUGAAAUUACAGUUUGACAUGAUCGUUUGGGACACCCUGGACGAAUAGUGAUGCGUUGUAUCCUCAAAUCAUCACAUGGGCAUCCACUAACCCGAAGUUUAGGUUUGAUUCAAGGAAUCACAUGUCAAACAUGCUCUAUGGGAAAACUUAUUAUUAGGCAUUCUUAUGACAAGAUUUGUUCGAAUCCUAAUAUUUUUCUACAAAGGAUUCCGGGGGGGGGGACAUUUGUGGACCGAUUCACCCUAUAUGCAGGACCAUUUACAUAUUUUAUGGUUUUGGUUGAUGUUUCCACACACUGGUCACACGUGUUCUUGUUGUCCACAAGGAACGUUGCAUUAUCCAAACUGUUGGAUUAGGUUAUCAAGCUUAGGGCUCACCACCCUGAUUUUCUGAUCAAAUAUAUUCGAUUGGAUAAUGCUGGAGAACUCUCAUCUAAAACUUUUGAUGACUAUUGAGGUUGAAGUUGAACAUCCAGUACCCCAUGUUCACACCCAUAACGGCUUGGCAGAGGCAUUCAUUAAGCGUUUAUAAAUGAUUGCUCGAUCGUUGGUCAUACAUACCAAUCUCCUAAUCGCUGCUUGGGGGGGCAUGCAAUAUUGCACGCAGUCAUGUUGGUCCGUUUGAGGUCUGUUGCGACCCAACCAUAUAGCGCCCUUCAGUUGGUUACCAGAUACGAACCUCACAUAUCGCAUCUGCACUUUUUUCAAUGAUCUAGCGCGAGUGACAUGAUCACAUAUUCCAGCUGCAAAUAUACCAAGCAGGACCACAUUCUAACUUAGGUAAUGAUCACCCAUCGUGGAUAUACCAAGCAUGAUCACUCCUAGAAUGCAUACGGUCCCCCAUGGCGAAUAAACUAAACAGAACCAUAGGCAUAGUCUAAUAACGUAGGCAGUGAUCAGUCAUCGCAGAUAUACCAAACAUGAUCACCCAUAACAGUCCCUCAUCGCGGAUAUACCAAGCAGGACUGUAUCCUAUAGCUCUGGGUAGUGAUCACCAAUCGUGGAUAUACCAAACAUGAUAACUCCUAGAAUGCGUAUGGUCUCAUAUUGUGGAUAUACCAAGCAGAACCAUAAACAUAGUCUAAUCAUGCAGGUGGUGAUCACCCAUCGCGGAUAUACCAAGCAUGAUCACCUUGUAAUAUGUAUGGUCCCCUAUCGCAGAUAUACCAAGUAGGACCAUCCAUGUACCACUUUUACAUGGUGCAGUAAGUUCAACACAUAACCUACCCCUAUGAGUUACAAUGUAGGCACCUACACUAUGAACUUCUCACGGCCUAUAACUAACAUGUCACACAAGCAUAAAAGUUAAAUUUAUCGUCAUCGUCCAGGUUUGACUAGUUCAUCCCCUUCUCUCAUUUCCCUCAUUUCAUCUUCCUGAUUCCUCCCUUAUUUCUCUCAUUUUCUCCGUCUCUCCCAUUGCCAUCUGGCAGCUUCCUUUUUUUUUUUUUAAACAACUAAAAUGCCUCUAAUUUCUUCUUUUCAACUCCAAUUUACGAACAGUUUUCCCCUACGUGCUUGUAGGAUCGAGCUUAAUUCGAAAACAUUAAGAGUGACCCCCCCCGAAGGUUUACGGAUUUUAAAUAAUUAUUUCCGAAAAAUUAAACUUUGUAACCAAGUAAUUAAAAUCUAAAAUUAAUUUAAAUUCGUGAAAUUACUAUAAAAUCUCGCGAAUUCAAAAUACGUAAAUUAUAGUAGUGAAAUCCAGAAACGAGACUUCACAAUCAGCAUGGUUGUCACCACCAUUGCCACCGACAAUGUCAUCACCACCACCAUAGUCAUCAUUGUUAUUGGCACCACUGCUACCUUUUCACCUCAAACACCACGCCCUAUUAUUGACUCCACCACCUUAUCCCCACCAUUGCCACUACCAUCACCACCACUAUCCUCAUUACCGUUGCCGUCCCCACCACCCUUACUAUCAUGUCCACUUUUUUAUUGUAUACAAUUAUAUCAUUUUGACAUUUAAUUUUAUCAAAUACAUUUAUACUGACUUUCAUACUUUGGAGAAAAUUUUCAUUAUGACCGGAACACGGAUGGUACAUGUGUGUUUAUAUAAGUGGUGGAAAAUUUUAAUUUUUAAGUUAUUAACUUUUCAACACACAUAUCCCACUAUUUGUAUAAUGACACGUAUUGUACCACCCCGUAUUCCAGUCACAUUGAAAAAUCUCUCCAUACUCUGAUCACUUUCAGAAAAACAAGUCAUCAAACGUCAAACCGCUUAACCACGAGCUGGUGGCUUAGUGGUAAAUGGUGGAUUGCGAGGCUUCCUUCAAAUUAAAAAUUGGAGAUCUCGGGUUUGAAACCCGCUGCUGGUGUGGAAGCCAUAUUUGUGGCUAGGGGGAGGCUGAAAUGCCUCUGCGAGUCUUUCCAGCCCCCGAAAGAGGUAGAUAACCGUGGCUUGCCACCAAUUAUCCCCAUUUCAAGAAGGGAAAAAAAUCUAAUUGGUUUCUUUGGUUGGCCUGGCUAAACAAUCCUUUUCUUUUUCCCAAAACAAUACUCUAAUUCUUUUAAAUUAUAAAACUUCGAACAUUAUUACAAAUGGAGGAGCAUACAAAUCUAUCCAUUUUGAUUACCUAAGCUAUACAAAUGUGCCCCAUUUUAAUGCAUGACAUUUUCAUCACGAAAGAAGGUUAGGCAUUUGCUUUCUCAUUUCCAUUAAUGGAAGAGAGGUGGAAAAGACAAGGAAGAGAGGCUCGGUCCAAUUGGCUUUAAAGUUGUGACACCCAUAGAUGCAUAAUGGUUAACUUUUUCACUUUUUUUCUUGGCCAGAAAUGCUAUACUUUUUGACUACAAAGAAAGGCAAAUUAAGUUCUCCAAAAAAAAAGAAAAAAAAAAAGAAAGGCAAAUUAAAGAUAUAGUUUGAAGAGCAGUACAUGAUAUAUUUGACGAUCUGUUAUUAGAGAUUAGUGGAAUUUGUUUCAAAAUUCACAGUAUGAUCUACUCUAAUAUUAUGUUUGGAUGAAAAAAUUUAAUAUUACUAAGGAUUUUAAAAUGACGAAAAUUGAAAUGAUAAGAUUUUAUUUUCUAGAAUUUGUGAAUUUUUUUGUUUGGUUAACCUAAAAGAACAAUAUAAUUGAAUAUGAAAUUUGUUAGUUUUAAACUCUCAAUCAUAGAAAUUGGGAAAUGACACUUAUUUACAUGCAAUUCAAACUUGAGAAUUGGAGGUCCCAAAUUCCAAGUUUUUUUUCCACGCUGAAACUCUAAAUUUCUAUGUUUAUGAAUCUAAACAAGGGAAUUGGUUCAUGUCAAUUUAUAAAUUCUGACUUUAUCCAAAUUCUAAUUUUAUUUCUCUCAUCCAAACAUAGUGUAAAAAAUCCUCACCAUGAUCGUUGAGUUAAAAAAAAUAAAAAUUAACUUGGAAACUAUCUGGUUAUCAAGUAAAUAUAAACCAAAUAAUUAUGAAUUUACCUAAUUUUUUAUGAAAUUUUUGUUGAAAGAAGAUGAAAAAUGGAAAAGUCCACAUAUACACAACAAUGCUAAAAUAAUGCCAUAAUAAUGCCACUCUAGAAAAUUAUUGGCGUAUAAUGACCUUUUUUAGGUGAAAUGAUGACGAUUUAUUUGAUACUAAUUGAAAAUAUUGAUACAAACAUAAAAAGAAACAUUCGAACUAAAAUUUAAGAGUUCCUGAAUUCAAAGAGGUUGCAAUAAAAUUUAAGAGUUCCUGAAAAUAACUCUUAAGAUGGUACAUUUUUUUUGAACAACUAACGAUGGUACAUUCAAAUAUAAACCACAGACAUUUUGGGAACCAUGUACAUUCUAAUUGCUGGAAGAUAUUGUAUUAAAAGCCAAUAUGAGAAAUGCUAAUGGGAUUUUCUUAGGCUCAAGUUUAACAUUACUUUCUGUGCAAAAAAUAUGACGUGACAUGGAGUCCAUAGAGUGUCUCAUUUUUAAGAGAAUCCCUUAGUAUUUCUCAAGCAAAUAUUAAGCAACUAAGAUUGCAGCCAUGCGAGUUGGUUUGCUGUAUGCCAUGGAGUGCAGGCUUCAAAACUAAAUGGAAAUUCUCUCACGUGUUUUUGUAUGGUAGGGAUGCGAGUUCGUUUGCUGUAUUCCACGUUUUCUCUCUGUUUGGAUAACUUUUUAUUUUUAUUUUUUUUAUUUUUUAAGAAAUAUAUAGAAGUUCGAUAACUCUAAACACUUACGAAUGGUGGACACAAAUACUUUCACUAAAAGAAAUAUAUAGAAGUAGCAAAUUAAUUAACUAGAUUUGUUGAAACAUAGCAUCAGUGAGAGGCUUGAGACAACUAAACCCCAAACAGAAUAAACAACGGUUGACAUUUGAAAAACCUACGACAAAUAUGAGGAAGCCACUAGUACUGCAGUCCAGUGCACUAAUCAGUAUAUGCGUGUCCGUGUGUGUAUAUAUAUUCAUACACACACACACAUCCUCGUUACAUGACAGUUUUUUUCACGUCACUCAAUACUACUGGUGCAUGCUUGAUCAUCAAUGGUGCUAGCACUACCUCCGCAUGAUUCUGCCGCAGGAUCAAUGGCGGGGAUAGGGUACUUAAAACCAUGAGUUUUGUAAUAUUUAUUGAGGUGAAGAUUGCAGAGAACUACAAGGAGGAAGGUGACGACGUAGAUAGACAAGGCAGCACAUUUGAACCACAAAGGAAAUGGUAUGGAGAUGGAUAUGAAGAAGGCUGUGACCCCAAAGAAGAGGCCAAAUUGAUGGAAAAUCAGGGCGAUUGUUAUUCCACCGGGAUAGUAGUUGAAGUGAAUAAACUUGCUUACCAAGAUACAAGUGAAGGCAAGUAAGACUGAGAGUCCAAGAAAGUAAAAGAUUACAGGGAGAUGGAGCUGGCUGGAGGGACCUUGGAAGGGGAGAAGUGCUAUUCCAAUCGCCGCUGUCAAGCAAAACACUACAAUUAUCGUUGCCCAGUCUAAGUUGUUGUUGUCGUACUUACUGUUAGUCCUCCCGUCUGCAACUUGCCUUGCGGCUUCUAGGUCACGAUGGGAAUCGCGAUCUCGAUCGAUGGGACCAAUUAUCAGAAGUUUGAGCCGUUGGGUUGGCGUUACUAUAACUGCAAGGAGAAAAGGCUUCAAGUACUGAUCCCAAGCAGUAUUAACAACAGAGCUCAUUUUAUUCUGCACAAAGGUUGGUAGAGAUGGAGAUAUAUAUAUGUGGAGGCAGAGGUCCUUGAUGAGGAUAUGGUUUCUGAGAUUUGAUGGUUUGAAUGGAAGAGGUAUUUGAUGCUCAGGAAAUGUUUGCAUGCAGAUAUAUAAACUGGCAA
rnacentral:lncRNA from 1 species